rnacentral:rRNA from 1 species
UACGGAGGGUGCGAGCGUUAAUCGGAAUUACUGGGCGUAAAGCGCACGCAGGCGGUUUGUUAAGCUAGAUGUGAAAGCCCCGGGCUCAACCUGGGAUGGUCAUUUAGAACUGGCAGACUAGAGUCUUGGAGAGGGGAGUGGAAUUCCAGGUGUAGCGGUGAAAUGCGUAGAUAUCUGGAGGAACAUCGGUGGCGAAGGCGACUCCCUGGCCAAAGACUGACGCUCAUGUGCGAAAGUGUGGGUAGCGAACAGG